rnacentral:sRNA from 1 species
GGUCUACUGGAAGUUGGACAAGAAGCCAAGCCCUUACGUGCCUUCAGAGUUGCCAGAAUUUCAACAUGAUAACUCUAGCAUGGUGUACUUCUUAAUGUCUGACUACACACCCAAAACUUUGGCUUACACUGCUCAAUCCCAGGAUUACCUGCAGUAUACUCUGACGCGCGACAAGAAUUUACCUGGCCUACAGGACUUGAAUCGUGACCGCUACUUGUGCAACC